rnacentral:rRNA from 1 species
GACGAACGCUGGCGGCGUGCUUAACACAUGCAAGUCGAACGGAAAGGCCUCUUUCGGGGGGUACUCGAGUGGCGAACGGGUGAGUAACACGUGAGUAACCUGCCCUUGACUUUGGGAUAACUUCAGGAAACUGGGGCUAAUACCGGAUAGGAGCUCCUGCUGCAUGGUGGGGGUUGGAAAGUUUCGGCGGUUGGGGAUGGACUCGCGGCUUAUCAGCUUGUUGGUGGGGUAGUGGCUUACCAAGGCUUUGACGGGUAGCCGGCCUGAGAGGGUGACCGGCCACAUUGGGACUGAGAUACGGCCCAGACUCCUACGGGAGGCAGCAGUGGGGAAUAUUGCACAAUGGGUGGAAGCCUGAUGCAGCAACGCCGUGUGCGGGAUGACGGCCUUCGGGUUGUAAACCACUUUCGCUCAUGACGAAGCUUUGUGUGACGGUAGUGGGUAAAGAAGCACCGGCUAACUACGUG